rnacentral:tRNA from 2 species
GGGCGAGUGGUGGAACUGGCAGACACGCUAGGUUAAGGGCCUAGUGGGGAAACCCGUGGAGGUUCGAGUCCUCUCUCGCCCACCA